rnacentral:lncRNA from 1 species
GGCGCGGAGCUGAGCAAGUGGCAGUUUAGGGAGCGUUAACUGCGCAUGAACAAAUUGCUGCUUGCCUCAAGGUUAAGGCUCCGGUGGUGUAAUAAAGGAUCUGAGAAUUUAAUUCCUAGCUGAAUUGGUUCGAACGCGUUUCUGGGACUUUUACCCUCUGUUUUGUCUUCUAACGCUGGGUAAAGGCCGAGGGUUAGCAACUUUUAUGCAUCCCUAGUAGUGAGGGAUCCUUAAAAAUGUUUUUUGAAUUAAUGAACAAUAUUACUGUAAUUAUCAUUCAUGGAGCUCUAAAUUCUUAAACUCUUCAUAAACACAUUUUCUCAUUUGAUUCUUAGAACAGUCUUGUGAAGUGGGUGGUAAUAUACCGCUCUCUUAGGGCAGGGACUGACCUUCCAAAGAGGAAGAACCAAUUCCAACCUAGAUUUAUGCGAUGCCAAAUGAAUGAAAAAUUAAUUUUCUACAGAAAUUUCUAGUGCUUGACCACUUCAAAGAUCACUGUAUGUUUAUUUGGAAUGAAUAUUACUCCUAGAAUAGCCAGCACUUUUUAAUUUUUGUUUUAAAGAAAAAUCUCUUCGUUUAAAUACAAAUAGUGAAAAAAAUGAAACUAAUGCUAACACCCAGAAAUUAACAAAAAUGUUAGGUCAAUCUUGUUAGGUAGAUAGUAUUAUUAUCUCCAUUUCAUAGGUGAGGAAACAAGGCAAGAAUGUGCAAGAAACAAGUAUAAUAUCUGAUUAUUUCUAAACAAAUACAAUUGAGUGAAUACAAUUGACUUAUUUUCUAACACUGAUGUUUAUUUUAGAAGGUUAAAAAUUUUUAUUUAUGGCACUGCCUUUAGUUUGCAAGGAAUUGAUUUCAAACCAGGAUGUAAGUCUAAAUUGAAGAUAAAGUGAGGAUAGUCCUUAGCUUAUUUAAGUACUUAAUGCUUAGGAACUGUAACUAAACAAUUGGGACACUUGGAAAGAUAUCACCUGGCUGCAAACUACAGUUAUUUGGUUAACAAAUUUUCACUGGUUUUGGGAAAAACAGACUUAGAAUAGGGAGAAAUACUCCUGUCGUCCAACAUUUUGGUGAUAAUCAAGGACAAAUUUGAAAAAGUGAAGAAACUGUGCAACAUGCCCAGAUCAUACAACAAGGAAGUAAUGGAAUUGAGAUUCUAUCCUGGGCGCCAAGCCAUUGCUCUAAAUCUCUAUGCUGCACAAGAUACAGCUGAGUAAAGAUUAGUAACAACAAAAAAAAACAACAAAAAAAGACAAGUCCCAGGGAAGGUUCCUGUGAGUCUUUAUGAUCCACUGGCCAUAAAUUAGAGAGAGGCAAUGAAGACUAAAUGCGGAGAGAUCCAGUUUGCUUCCUAGUCUUAGUACAUUGCCAUCUAGGCAUGAGUAGUCUCCUUGUCUCCGUUGUCUGAGAAUGCUAUCCUCUGGCUCUGAGGUCCAGAGCCACUAAGAGAGAAUGCUGACUUGAUGUCAGAAAAUCAAGACAAGGUCUAGUUUAAUUAUGGAACAUGAAACAAAAACUUUACUCCUCUUUUGAAGUAAAAAUGCAAAUCUGUUCCGUUUUAGAGUGGGAUUUCCCUCCUUUGUUAUAUGGCUUUUAAAUUACUCAUGUUCUUUACAAA